CUGUAUUUUCAGAGAAAUGGCAGUGUUUAUAUUGCCCCUAGGGACACCUCCAAGAUGGCCACUGGAGGCACUUCCUGGCUCAGUGCUGCACAGAAGGCCGCUCUGCCAUUCAGCGUCUCCACGCUCUGCAUGGGGACGCUGAAUUUUCCUCAGAGAUUCAUUGAUUCAAUGCAUCUCUAUAAGGAGGUGCUGAUUGGCCAAAACAGUUUGGCCCCACCCCCUUGCCCAAUUUUAGCCAGUCCAAUGCAUUCCCCAUGGGAUUCUCAAAAAAAUAGGCAAGUCUGUCACCAAUGGGGCGAGCGCCGGCGGACCUGCACGGCACUGGAAAUAAGGUAAGUUUUUUUUAUUAACUUUUAAGGGGGGCCAAGCAACCUAAAUGGUGGGUUUUGCACUAUAGGGUCAGGUAUACAUGUGUGUUCCUGACACUAUAGUGUUCCUUUAAAUGGUUUUUUUUUUUUUUUGGUUCAAUUUAAAUUAUUUAUCUAUCAUUAAAGGGACACUAUAGUCACCCAGACCACUUCAGCUCAAUGAAGUGGUCUGGGUGCCAGGUCCCUCAGGUUUUAACCCUGCAGAUGCAAACAUAGCAGUUUCAGAGAAAUAUUAUGCCUCCAUCAUGCAGAGCGUCUAUAGGAAAGCAUUGGGAAAUGCUUUCCUAUGGACACUUUGAAUGCGCGCGUGGCACUCUGGAUCCAUCGCAUCUAGAGUACCCCACUGACGUCAACACAGACCCUCUAUUCUGGAUCUAAGAAGCACCAGCACUUUAAAACCAACUCGCUACAUAGGAGGCUUGAAUUAGCCACAACUUUUUAUGCUGUGCAAGACUGAAACCAACAGAGAAUAUUGGUGAGAUCUACCCAUAUAUUAUUAAUACAGGACAUAUAUUUGGUGUGUACACACUAGGACUGUAAAUAUUUUUAAUUUUUUAAAAUAUAUUUUUAAUUUUUCAUAUUUCAACCAAUUAAUAUAAGGUCUUCUCGCCAGGAAGAAAUUUGGUCCUAAUUGUAUUGAGGACUCUCAGCUAUACAGUGUGAUUUAAGCAACAAUUAUAACUGAUACUGUCUGACUGUAUUGGGGCUUUGAUUCAUGUCUGGUGUUUUAUUGAGAUAAACACAAGAGUUAUAGGGGCAUGAGGUGUAUAUUACGAAUUGUAUAUAUCAUAGUAGCUUAAGUCAUUAUUUGUUAAGAUAUGGCAAUAGAAUAAAUAAGCAUUUUUCUUAGUGUGUGUGUGUGUG